rnacentral:rRNA from 1 species
UACAGAGGUGGCAAGCGUUGUUCGGAAUUACUGGGCGUAAAGGGCGCGUAGGCGGCGCGGUAAGUCACUUGUGAAAUCUCUGAGCUUAACUCAGAACGGCCAAGUGAUACUGCAGUGCUAGAGUGUGGAAGGGGCAAUCGGAAUUCUUGGUGUAGCGGUGAAAUGCGUAGAUAUCAAGAGGAACACCUGAGGUGAAGACGGGUUGCUGGGCCAACACUGACGCUGAGGCGCGAAAGCCAGGGGAGCAAACGGG